rnacentral:rRNA from 1 species
GUGGGUGACCUACCCUGAAGACGGGGACAAUCCUUGGAGACGGGGGCUAUUAGCCUACUGUGCUCGUGUCAUGCGGUUGGUCGAGUCAAGGCUGAGGCGCGUCAGGAUGGGCCUGUGGCCCAUCCGCUAGUUGGUAGGGUACCGGCCUACCAAGGCUGAGACGGGUAUGGGGCGUGAGAACGUCAGUCCCCCACACUAGCAGAGGGAGACGGGCCAGACUCCUACGGGAGGCAGGAGAAAAGAAUCUUGACUCAAUGGGCGAAAGCCAGACGCAGCGACGCCGCGUGGGCUAACGAAGGCCUUCGGGUUAGUACCGCCCUUUUCCAAGGGAAGACGGAAGGACGGUACCCUGGGAAUAAGUCCCGGCUAACUAUGUGCCAGCACGCCGGGGUAAUGACCUAGGGGACGCGCGUUAUUCCGGAUUUACUGAGCGUACAGCGCGUUGCGGCGGUUCCGUCAGUUGUGCUGUGCCGGCCGCGGGCUUCGCUCGUGGAGGUCGUUCAAUACUGCGGUGCUAGCGGGCUCCCGAGGGCGGUGGAAUUCCCGGUGUACUGGUGAAAUGCGUAGAUUUCGGGCGGCACACCCGUGUUGUAGUCGGCUUCAUGGGCUGACCCUGACGCUGUAUGCGUUAGCUAGGGGAUCUAACGGGAUUAGAUACCCCGGUAGUCCGUACCUGUAAACGAUGGAUGAUGGGUAUGGGGGUUAUAAAUUCCCUCUGUGCCGUAGUUAACGCGUUAAGCAUCCCGCCUGGGGAUUACGGCCGCAAGGCUCUUACUCAAACGAAUUGACGGGGGCACCGCACAAGCAGCGGAGCGUGUGGUUUAAUUCGAUGCUACACGAAGAACCUUACCUGGGCUUGACAUGCACGUGGUAGGGAACCGAAAGGGGACCGACCUUCGGGAGCGUGCACAGGUGAUGCAUGGCUGUCGUCAGCUCGUGCACGUGAGGUGUCGGAUUCAAGUCUCGUAACGAGCGCAACACCUUGCCCUUAGCUUAUACGUGUCUAAGGGGACUGCCCGGGAUAACCGGGAGGAAGAUGUGGGAUGACGUCAAGUCAGCAUGGCCUUUAUGUCCAGGGCUACACACACGCUACAAUGGUCGGUACAAUGGGUCGCGAAACCGUGAGGCGGAGCCAAUCCUGAAAGCCGGUCUCAGUUCGGAUUGUAGGCAGCAACUCGCCUACAUGAAGUUGGAGUUGCUAGUGACCGCAGGUCAGCUAUACUCAGGUGAAUACGUUCCCGGGCGUUGUACACACCGCCCAUCACGUCAUGGGA